CAUUAGGCUCAGGGUUUUUCAGGGCUUUUUUUUCUUUUUUCAUUAACCCACACAAAAGUAAAGUGGAAAUCACCAUAGCCAGUCAGCUCAGCUCCUACUGUGAGCCUGACUAGGGCCCCUAAUAACAUCACUCUGCUCUCGCUGCUGCUGGAUUAAUACAAGAGAUACUCGCAAAAGGACAUGCAUCACACGGCGGCUUACACUGACAACAGAGACAAAAAAGAAGAAGAUGAGACCUGACGCUGGCCAUCCUUCCUCAAAGAUGGCUGAAUGAACAAAAGGACUUGAAGGGCCGGGAGGAGACGAGGACUGGAACACGCAUUUGGUGAGUAAUCAAUUCAUUUGAUUUCCAACUU